GCUUGAUAUUUGAAAAGUCUAGUCUUUUUAGAUGAAUUUUGACUUGACCUUAAAAAUAUUUCGUUGGGGUGACGGGGAGAUAAAAUAAACUCUUUCUAAAAUUUUACAUUGAUGUAUGAUUAAUUGAUCCAUUAAUAGUGAUUAUAAGACUAAGU
rnacentral:rRNA from 1 species